rnacentral:rRNA from 1 species
UACGUAGGGUGCAAGCGUUAAUCGGAAUUACUGGGCGUAAAGCGUGCGCAGGCGGUUAUGUAAGACAGGUGUGAAAUCCCCGGGCUUAACCUGGGAAUGGCAUUUGGGACUGCAAGGCUUGAGUGCGGCAGAGGAGACUGGAAUUCCUGGUGUAGCAGUGAAAUGCGUAGAUAUCAGGAGGAACACCGAUGGCGAAGGCAGGUCUCUGGGCUGACACUGACGCUCAUGCACGAAAGCGUGGGGAGCGAACAGG